UCAUCCUCUCUGCCCUAAAGCUAUAAACCCUAAAAAUCUCCUCUCCAAGGGCUAAAGGACGCCAUGGUUCGAAUCCCAUCCGGAAAUGCCGCCGCCGCCAAGCUUGCCCGACUCGAUCAGGCACUGCGGCCAUGCUAGGGAUCUCUCGCUGGGCCGCGAGCUCCACGCUCGGAUCCUCCGCGAUGGCGCUCUCUACUCCAAUGUCUUCCUCGCCAAUCUCCUCGUCGAGAUGUAUGGCCGCUGCGGCGCCGUGGAGGAGGCGGCGGCGCUCUUCUCCGCCACCGCUGCCAAGAACUCCUUCAGCUGGAAUCUCAUGAUCGCGGCCCUGAUCCGCAAUGGCCAGCUCCAGCGCGCGCGCGAUCUCUUCCACCAGAUGCCGCAGCAAGAUGCCGUGGCCGGGAAUUCCCUGAUCAAGGCCUACGCCGAUCGGGGGGAGAUCCAAGAGGCAGAGUCGCUGUUCUUGGCGAUGCCCAGGAGGGAUCUAGUGUCGAGCAACACGAUGCUCCGGGCGUACUCCACCGGCGGGGAUUUCGAUCGCGCCAGAGAGUUUUUCGAUGCCAUGGCCGAUCGGGACGCGGUGUCUUGGAAUGUGAUGAUCCAGGCGUGCGUCACUGCCGGAGAUCUCGAGCAAGCGAUUGAUCUCUUCAAUCGAUCCCCGGCCCCGGAUAUCGUCUCAAGAACCGCGAUGAUCCAAGCGUUUGCCCAGGACGGAGACCUUGAUAGCGCCAAAAGAACGUUUGAUUCCAUGCCAGAAAUCAACAUAAUCUCCUGGAACACGAUUCUCACUGCGAUUUCCCAGCGCGGCCAGAUCGAGAGGGCAAGGAAAGUGUUUGAUCAGAUCCCACAUCCAGAUCUAGUUUCCUGGAAUUGCAUGCUUGGAGCAUAUGCCCAAGCCGGGCAUCUGGAUCUAGCGCUAGAGCUCUUCUCACGAAUGCCACUGACGAGCUUGAUUUCCUGGAACACAAUGAUCUCCGGAUUCAGCCACAGCGGCAACCACCGCACCGCGAUGUCGAUCUUCUACAAGAUGCCCGCCCGCGACACAGUCUCCUGGAAUCUGGCAAUUGCGGCGCUUGCCCAGGCCGGAAAUCUUCACGAGGCCGCCAAGAUCUUCAAGAAAAUGCCGCAGCGCGACAUCGUCUCCUGGAACACGAUCCUCCAGGCGCAAGCGUCGGAUGGAGCGGUCGAGCAAGCGCGAUUGAUCUUCGACGCCAUGCCCGAGCACGAUUCCCUCUCCUGGAACGCGAUCCUGGGUGCGUACACCUGCGCGGGGCAAAUCGCCCGCGCGGAAGAGAUCUUCGCGAGAAUGCCGGCCAAGAACCUCGCAUCGAUGAGCGCCAUGGUGUCCGCGCACGCCAUGGCUGGAAACCUCGAUCACGCGCUAGGGCUCCUGGACGCCAUGCCCGAGUGGAACUCGGUCUCGUGGAACGCGAUGAUCGCCGCGGCGUCGUCCGAUGUGGAGCUGGCCGGCUGGCUCUUCGAUCGGACGGCGGAGAAGGACGUGGUGACGUGGACGGCCAUGGUCGCGGCUUAUGCCGGGAGCGGGCAUCUGGAGGACGCGAGGAGGGCCUUCUGGAGGAUGGACUGCGAGCGCGACGUGGUGGCGUGGACGGCUCUGAUCCACGGCGAGGCCAUCAACGGCGGCCUGGCAACGGCCAGGAUGGUUCUUGAUCGAAUGCCAUGUCCCAAUGCGGUGUCCUGGAAUGGGGUCAUUCAAGCGUUUGCCCAGAACGGGAAUCUCCGCGAGGCGCUGGAAAUCCUCCGCGAGAUGUGUGCCGAGGGAUUGGCGCCGGAUGGCGUGAGCUUCAUCGGCGCGCUGGCGGCGUGCAGCUACAUCGGCCUCGUCCAGGGCGCCAAGCGCUGCCUGUGCUCGAUGAUCGUGGAUUUCGGCGUGAUUCCGGGCGUGGAGCACUACCACUGCGUGUUGGACGCGCUGGGGCGGGCAGGGAAGCUCGGCGACGCGGAGGAACUGCUCAGGGGGAUGCCUCAUUCUCCCAACGACGCUACCUGGACGAGCCUGCUGGGAUCUUCCAAGAUCCAUUGCGAUCCGGCGCGGGCGGCCGAGGCGGCCAGGAAGCUGGAUCCGACGAACGCAGCCCCAUAUCUAAUGCUCGCAAGAUGAAGAAUUAGGGUUCUUGGUCGCUGGGAGGGAGAGCGCUGAUGCAUCAUUCGAUGCGCGCGAGGAUCGGCGAAGAAACUAUUUGAUGCGAGGAAUAUUUUGCUCAUGGCCAUUGCCCUCCAUCCAAAGGGUAUUAUUACUCACUGUGGCCCAUCUCAAAUAGUAUCGUCUUCCUCGUCUUGUUCUUCCUCUGCAUGGCCUUGUUGGGUCUCCAUG